UACGUAGGGAGCAAGCGUCGUCCGGAAUCAUUGGGCGUAAAGCGCGCGUAGGUGGCUUCGUAAGUCCGUUGUGAAAGUCAAAGGCUCAACCUUUGAAUGCCGGUCGAUACUGCCGGACUAGAGUUCGGAAGAGGCGAGUGGAAUUCCCGGUGUAGCGGUGAAAUGCGUAGAUAUCGGUAGGAACACCAAUGGCGAAGGCAGCUUGCUGGCAUAUUUCUGACGCUAAGGCACGAAAGCGUGGGGAGCGAACAGG
rnacentral:rRNA from 1 species